UGGGGAAUAUUGCGCAAUGGGGGAAACCCUGACGCAGCAACGCCGCGUGAGUGACGAAGGCCUUCGGGUCGUAAAGCUCUGUCGGAGGGGAAGAAACUACCAAUGGCUAACAUCCAUAGGUAUUGACGGUACCCGAAGAAGAAGCUCCGGCUAACUUCGUGCCAGCAGCCGCGGUAAUACGAAGGGAGCUAGCGUUGUUCGGAAUCACUGGGCGUAAAGCGCACGUAUGCGGAUAGUUAAGUCAGGGGUGAAAUCCUGGGGCUCAACCCCAGAACUGCCUUUGAUACUGGCUGUCUCGAGGUCGAGAGAGGUUGGUGGAAUUCCUAGUGUAGAGGUGAAAUUCGUAGAUAUUAGGAAGAACACCAGUGGCGAAGGCGGCCAACUGGCUCGAUACUGACGCUGAGGUGCGAAAACGUGGGGAGCAAACAGGAUUAGAUACCCCGGUAGUCCCUGAGCGGGCUGGCAAGGCGCAU
rnacentral:rRNA from 1 species